AUGAAUCAUUAAUUGAAAGUCCAGUGUAUACUCCUUUUAAAUACUACCAAAUCUGGAAAUGUGAAAUUUGAUUGUAUAGCAUUUACAGAGAGACACAAAAUGUUACAAGAUAUUUAACUUUAAUCCUUUCAAAUUCUAGAAUUUUGUUUCUGCUUUUUUUGUAGCUUUCACUACAAGUUUACCAGCAGAAUGUGAAUCUAGUGGUUCUAGUUGUGAAACAGAUAAUAUCCCCCCCCCCCCCAUUUAGAC